rnacentral:tRNA from 1 species
GCGAUCAUCGUUCAACGGUUAGGACAUCGGUUUGUGGUACCGAGAAUCUGGGUUCGAUUCCCAGUGGUCGCC